UCAGGGAGCACUGGACAAGGGCCAGUGGAGGACACAGGAAAAGAUACACGGCUUCACCUUAAUUGAUUACCCCAGAGUUGAGUGGAUUCAACACAGUGUUAAUUAAGAUGUUUUGAUUGCAAGUGACAGCAAUUCUUUUCUAUAGCUUAAGCCAAAGGAGGGAAUCUGUGGGUUCAUGCAAUUGAAAAGUGUCAGGGCAGAACCAUCUGGUUCCAGUGAGCAGAACUAGAGCAGUGGUUACUGAAAUCAUUGGGACAGAAUCUGUCCCCUUCCCGUGGCUUCAUACUCAGGGGCAUGCUCCCCACAUAGUGGAUCCAGGAGACUUCAGGCUUCUGUCCUCUCAGGUCAGUAAGCCAAUGGAAAGCAAUCUUCAGUUUCCUGUUUGUCUCUAGCGUUCUCAAGGUUGAUGCUCUGGCUCUAAUUGGCCCAUAUUGGGUCACAUUCUCCCUUGACCCAGUGGCUGCGGACAGAGUGAUGGAAUGUUCUCAUUGCCUAGGCCUGGGCAUCCUAUCCUUUCUAGGGGUCAGGACUGCUUGCCAGCCCCACCCACACUAUCUGGACUGAGAGUGGUGAGAGGACCCUAAAAGGUCAGCAUGGUCCUUUCCCCCACAGGUGUUAGAUAGGCAAAUAUUGCAAUAUACACAGCAAAGCAAUGGACAGUCAGAAUAUUAUCAGGCUGUCAUCACUGACUGUGGCAUUCCAUAGAAAUGAUCAUCGGUUCACAGUGCGUAGCAAGUGAUCAAUGUUUCCUGAUUCGAUCUGCCAUCAGACUAGAAGUUCUGGGAACAUAUGCCAUUGUAUUGUGGUCAUCUAACAUAUUGCUUAACAUAUACAGGGUUUUAGAAGCAGUCAAUGAAUGAAUUUGCUGUAAGAUUUCAGAGAGAGGAGGCAUAUCAAGAUGGAUUCCUUUGAUUUGGUUCCCUGGGAAACUGAGAAUGGAAGGUUCUGGGGUCACAGGGCUGUAUUCCUCUGGAAAUACAAUGCAGAUGUUUUCCUCUGCAUUUGUAAGUUUUUAAAUUAAAAUUUGAAGGGAGCCAUGAGUUUGUGGCCUCUGGUAACAAAUUGCCAAUUCAGUGAGUAUUUGCCAAACCUAUUUAUUUAUGAUGUCAUGUGAGUGCUUAUUUUUUCUUGUAUUUUUAUACUGAUUUUAUAUUGUAGAAUCUUCUUGGAGACCAUGACAGAUGGAUUUCAAUAUAUGUUCCCUUAUACAAACAGCAUGCUAAUUUUUCCUGAAGUUAUCAGUUCUUUCUGCCUCCUAUCAUCCCCACCUGUCUGUACAUCCAGAUCCUGUCUCCAGUUCUGCAUCAGCAGCCACAUGGCAGAUCAUAUCAAAGUUAGAGGUGGUGCUUCCUCCUGCGGGUUCUUAUAGCAUCUUCAUCCUUUGCCAUGACCUUUCUCACACUGAGGGACACUUGUUUGCCAACUAGGCCACGAGGACAUACUGACACCUGCGCCACCUGUACCCAGCACCAAGGUCCGGCACAUACUAAGUGCUAAAGGAAAUAUCCACUGAUUGAACGCAUGAAUAGGGCUAGUUUGUGGAAUAUUCCCUUUGAAAGAUGGUGAGGGGACAGAUAGGGAUUUUCUAAUGGCGUCUCACCUGCUGACUAUACGAGUCCGAUGGGAAAAGCACGCUGC
rnacentral:lncRNA from 1 species